rnacentral:rRNA from 1 species
UGAUUGAUGGUGCUUGCACCUGAUUGAUUUUGGUCGCCAACGAGUGGCGGACGGGUGAGUAACACGUAGGUAACCUGCCCAGAAGCGGGGGACAACAUUUGGAAACAGAUGCUAAUACCGCAUAACAGCGUUGUUCGCAUGAACGACGCUUAAAAGAUGGCUUCUCGCUAUCACUUCUGGAUGGACCUGCGGUGCAUUAGCUUGUUGGUGGGGUAACGGCCUACCAAGGCAAUGAUGCAUAGCCGAGUUGAGAGACUGAUCGGCCACAAUGGGACUGAGACACGGCCCAUACUCCUACGGGAGGCAGCAGUAGGGAAUCUUCCACAAUGGGCGCAAGCCUGAUGGAGCAACACCGCGUGAGUGAAGAAGGGUUUCGGCUCGUAAAGCUCUGUUGUUAAAGAAGAACACGUAUGAGAGUAACUGUUCAUACGUUGACGGUAUUUAACCAGAAAGUCACGGCUAACUACGUGCCAGCGCCGCGGUAAUACGUAGGUGGCAAGCGUUAUCCGGAUUUAUUGGGCGUAAAGAGAGUGCAGGCGGUUUUCUAAGUCUGAUGUGAAAGCCUUCGGCUUAACCGGAGAAGUGCAUCGGAAACUGGAUAACUUGAGUGCAGAAGAGGGUAGUGGAACUCCAUGUGUAGCGGUGGAAUGCGUAGAUAUAUGGAAGAACACCAGUGGCGAAGGCGGCUACCUGGUCUGCAACUGACGCUGAGACUCGAAAGCAUGGGUAGCGAACAGGAUUAGAUACCCUGGUAGUCCAUGCCGUAAACGAUGAGUGCUAGGUGUUGGAGGGUUUCCGCCCUUCAGUGCCGGAGCUAACGCAUUAAGCACUCCGCCUGGGGAGUACGACCGCAAGGUUGAAACUCAAAGGAAUUGACGGGGGCCCGCACAAGCGGUGGAGCAUGUGGUUUAAUUCGAAGCUACGCGAAGAACCUUACCAGGUCUUGACAUCUUGCGCCAACCCUAGAGAUAGGGCGUUUCCUUCGGGAACGCAAUGACAGGUGGUGCAUGGUCGUCGUCAGCUCGUGUCGUGAGAUGUUGGGUUAAGUCCCGCAACGAGCGCAACCCUUGUUACUAGUUGCCAGCAUUAAGUUGGGCACUCUAGUGAGACUGCCGGUGACAAACCGGAGGAAGGUGGGGACGACGUCAGAUCAUCAUGCCCCUUAUGACCUGGGCUACACACGUGCUACAAUGGACGGUACAACGAGUCGCGAACUCGCGAGGGCAAGCAAAUCUCUUAAAACCGUUCUCAGUUCGGACUGCAGGCUGCAACUCGCCUGCACGAAGUCGGAAUCGCUAGUAAUCGCGGAUCAGCAUGCCGCGGUGAAUACGUUCCCGGGCCUUGUACACACCGCCCGUCACACCAUGAGAGUUUGUAACACCCAAAGUCGGUGGGGUAACCUUUAGGAGCCAGCCGCCUAAGG